CCUACGGGAGGCAGCAGUGGGGAAUAUUGCACAAUGGGGGAAACCCUGAUGCAGCGACGCCGCGUGAGUGAAGAAGGAUUUCGGUAUGUAAAGCUCUAUCAGCAGGGAAGAAAAUGACGGUACCUGACUAAGAAGCCCCGGCUAACUACGUGCCAGCAGCCGCGGUAAUACGUAGGGGGCAAGCGUUAUCCGGAUUUACUGGGUGGAAAGGGAGCGUAGACGGCAGACAAGUCAGAAGUGAAAGCCCAGGGCUCAACCCUGGGACUGCUUUUGAAACUGCCGGGCUGGAGUGCAGGAGAGGUAAGCGGAAUUCCUAGUGUAGCGGUGAAAUGCGUAGAUAUUAGGAGGAACACCAGUGGCGAAGGCGGCUUACUGGACUGUAACUGACGUUGAGGCUCGAAAGCGUGGGGAGCAAACAGGAUUAGAUACCCCAGUAGUC
rnacentral:rRNA from 1 species